UACGUAGGGGGCAAGCGUUGUCCGGAAUCAUUGGGCGUAAAGCGCACGUAGGCGGCCCGGUAAGUCCGUUGUGAAAGUCAAAGGCUCAACCUUUGAAUGCCAAUGGAUACUGCCGGGCUAGAGUCCGGAAGAGGCAAGUGGAAUUCCUGGUGUAGCGGUGGAAUGCGCAGAUAUCAGGAGGAACACCUAUAGCGAAGGCAGCUUGCUGGGACGGUACUGACGCUAAGGCGCGAAAGCGUGGGGAGCGAACAGG
rnacentral:rRNA from 1 species